rnacentral:ribozyme from 1 species
GAAAGCGGUGUGCUUGGAAACUUGCUCGCACCGUUUGGGGGGCUGAUUGUAA